GAGCAGCUAGGUUUGUUUUAGUCUCAGAUGUCUUAAGGACAUGGCACGAUGCUCAGAUUUACUGCAGACAGACUUUCACCGACCUGGCCAUCAUUCGAAAUAAAACUGACAAUAACGUGCUGAAUGUCGCUUCCAAUUACGCAUGGAUUGGCAUGUUUAGGGAUUCAUGGAAGUGGUCAGAUGGAACAAAUGUCAGCACUUACCCCAUUAACUGGGCGAGUUCUGAACCAAACCUAAAUGGGAUGAACCCAAUUUGUGUUACUGCAGAACUUGAUGGGUCAUUAGAUGAUCAGCUCUGCUCUUAUACCUUUCCUUUCCUCUGCAUGUACAAUGCAACAAUUGUUACAACUCCAAUGAAGGUAAUACAUUUAGUGAAUUUUACGGAUCCAAAGCAGCAGAUUUUGAGAGUGGAGAUAAAGGCUGGUCAGAAACUAAACAACCCUACAAACAUGCAGUUCAUCUUGCAGUGGAUAAAGCAUAAACUGACAGUAGAUGGAGUGAUCAUCGCAAAAAUGACAUGGAAAACACAACCAGAUGGAAAUGUUUUCUCAAUCAAACCUGAAGAAUAUCAACCCACCCAUCAAGCUUGUUCUUCUAUAUAACAAUGCUAGCACAUCUAGUGAUGUAUCAAAUUGUCCCGACCUUUUGUCCUCAAAAAGUAAACGUAUGUUUUCGACUGAUUUAGAAAUCUUAUUUUAAUAGAUUUUAAUGUGCUGCGACCAUUUAACCUCAGAAGACAUGGACAUCACUUUUUUUGUUGUUUGCACCAUAAUAGUUACUUCCUAACUUCCUUAUUCAUUUAGCUGACGCUUUUAUCCAAAGCGACUUACAAUUUAUGUCAGAGGUUGCAUGCCUCUGGAGCAACUAGGGGUGAAUAAGUGUCUUGCUCAGGAACACAAUGUGGAUUCGAACCCGGGUCUCUCACACCAAAGGCGUGUGUCUUAUCCUCUGUGCCAUCACCACCAAUAGUUAAUUCUGCGUAACUGGAACCUGUUGUUUACAACGUGGACAAUUACACUGCUUCAUGUUCAAAGAAAAAUAUUUGGUUAUUAUAUUUAUUGGUUCUUCCUAAAAUAGCUAGUAGAAAUCUGAAAAAAAGACAAACCAAAGCUUGGGCCUUAGGAGGUUAAAGACAGAUAACCAAUAGACUCUAAAUGAGUCUUUAAAAGUCAAAAUGUGUGUUUUUCCUUAUAGGCUUGACCAGCAUACAGUCAAGAGGAAUACAUCUGCGUUUGUAAACUGAGUUGUAUAAAUAAUAGGAUCUUUGAUUAAUCUUUAUACCAUUUCCAUACAUUCAAAUGUAGUUUGUGUGGGUUGUAUAAAUUCAGCAUUUAUUUUGCG